rnacentral:rRNA from 1 species
UACGUAGGGCGCGAGCGUUAAUCGGAAUUACUGGGCGUAAAGGGUGCGCAGGCGGUAUGAUAAGUUAGAUGUGAAAUCCCCGAGCUUAACUUGGGAAUAGCAUUUAAGACUGUUAUACUAGAGUAUGUUAGAGGGGGGUAGAAUUCCAAGUGUAGCAGUGAAAUGCGUAGAGAUUUGGAGGAAUACCGAUGGCGAAGGCAGCCCCCUGGGAUAAUACUGACGCUCAGGCACGAAAGCGUGGGUAGCAAACAGG